rnacentral:rRNA from 1 species
GACAGAGGGUGCAAACGUUGUUCGGAAUUACUGGGCGUAAAGCGCGCGUAGGCGGCUUUGUAAGUUAGAGGUGAAAGCCCGGGGCUCAACUCCGGAACUGCCUUUAAGACUGCAUCGCUUGAAUCCGGGAGAGGUGAGUGGAAUUCCGAGUGUAGAGGUGAAAUUCGUAGAUAUUCGGAAGAACACCAGUGGCGAAGGCGGCUCACUGGACCGGUAUUGACGCUGAGGUGCGAAAGCGUGGGGAGCAAACAGG